rnacentral:rRNA from 1 species
GUGGGGAAUUGUUCGCAAUGGGCGAAAGCCUGACGACGCAACGCCGCGUGGAGGAUGAAGAUCUUCGGGUCGUAAACUCCUUUCGAUCGAGACGAAUUCCUUCCGGGUGAAUAGCCCGGGAGGUUGACGGUACCGAGAGAAGAAGCCCCGGCUAACUCCGUGCCAGCAGCCGCGGUAAUACGGGGGGGGCAAGCGUUGUUCGGAAUUACUGGGCGUAAAGGGCCCGUAGGCGGCCAACUCAGUCAGACGUGAAAUCCCUCGGCUUAACCGGGGAACUGCGUCUGAUACUGGAUGGCUCGAGUCCGGGAGAGGGAUGCGGAAUUCCAGGUGUAGCGGUGAAAUGCGUAGAUAUCUGGAGGAACACCGGUGGCGAAGGCGGCAUCCUGGACCGGCACUGACGCUGAGGGGCGAAAGCCAGGGGAGCAAACGGGAUUAGAUACCCUGGUAGUCC